GCGGGACGACAUUAUUUUCCCGCACUCCGCUUCGCUUUGGAUCCUGCGACCUCGGAGCCGGCAUCGGCUGGCUAAAGCCAUGGAUGGAUUCCUUCUUAACCGCACCGGGGGAUUGUGGUCAACAGAAAGUGGUGCUGCAGCGAGUGUUGGAAGACCUGUGCUAUUUAAAGCUAAGCUAAAAGGAUGUUAGAGCCCACCAACCCGCUGGGGACAGAGCGACUUCCAUUCUCUGCUAACAAAGUGCCCAUUUGCAACAAUGGAUGAUGACCGACUGCAUUUGCCAGACUAUGACUUUUGCUUUGAGACUUCUCUGCACAGAAAUCUGAGAAAAGAGUUGCUGAACGCCAUUGUGUGCCGUCUGAAUGUUCUCUCCUACUAACAAGACAGGAAAAAAAUUUACUGAGUGAUUCCUCAAGUAAGCAUUAGAAUUGUUUUGAGUUUGCAUGAUGCUACCACAGGAAUCCAGUGAAAUGAAUGAAAAAGUAAAGGGUUGCAACGGCUGCAGUUUAUGUAAAUUACAAUAACUACUAAUAGCAACUUUGAAGUAUUUCAAAUACAGAUUUGUACAAAC